AUACAGAAAAAAAAUAAAAAAUAAAUAAUAAGCUAGGCGCUAUAGCGCAGGGACAGACGCCAUAACACCCGAAGUUGAAUUUUGAAGAAAAAAAAUGCCACUUAAAUGGCACAUGACCGGCACAUGGGUAUCAAAACUCAUUCUUCACACUAUAAAAUACCAAUCCGAAAAUUUAAACCCCAUCCCCAUUAUUUUUUCUCUCUUAGGUUUUUCAUAGUUCUCAAAACACAAAUCUUCUUCCAAUUCUUUUUCUGGCAGCCGCUAUUCCAAUGGAUUUUCAUUUUUUCCGGUGUCCUCAACAGUCCAAGUCAGCCACACUAACCACUCACCAAGGUUUUACACUUGGAAUGAUAAAUUGAUCAAAUUUUGGAAAACAACAAUCUAUAGAAUAGAGAAAAUUCUACAAGAAAAUAAAGUUGAAACUUCAAGCUUAACUUUGACUAUAUUCUGAUCCAUUUUGGAAAAAGUCAAAACAUGGAAGUUUUAGAUUUCUUUUUCUUCUUUCCAACGCAUCUUGAAUCAACUCAUUUGGAGUUUGUAUGUGAAAGUUAUGCACAUUUUACUGAAAGAUGCUGAAGCUGUCAAAUUUGCUUCAGCAGUCGCGACCACCACUUUCCAUGGUCGCGACUAGGAGGCCAGACAGCAAGUUUAAUUUCGUAUUUUGCCUAUGGUCGCGACUAGGCUUUAUGCAGUCACGACCAGGGGCGAAACAUGAGAUUUUUUGCCAGUUUUUGACUUUUUCAGAGGUAGCAACCCUAAUUUCUAUUUAAGGGGCUCGUGUUUUAGAAUGAAAGGAGGCAGAAAUUGGACCCAAAAGUGAAAGAAGGAGGCAUAAGAAGCAAUGGUGGCGAUCCGGAAUACAAUCACCAACUAGUUCUUUCUUAAACUCUUGAUUUCUAUGUUAAUUUCUGUUUUAGUUUUGAUUAUGGAUGUUAUUAUGGAUUUUAUGAACUAAACUCCUAUUUGGGGAGAUGAUGAAUGUUGAUUGAAAUUACUUUUGGUUAA